CCUACGGGAGGCUGCAGUGGGGAAUCUUGCGCAAUGGGCGAAAGCCUGACGCAGCAACGCCGCGUGGGGGAUGAAGGCUUUCGGGUUGUAAACCCCUUUCAGCAGGGACGAAUCAAGACGGUACCUGCAGAAGAAGCCCCGGCUAACUACGUGCCAGCAGCCGCGGUAACACGUAGGGGGCAAGCGUUGUCCGGAUUUAUUGGGCGUAAAGAGCUCGUAGGCGGCUCGAUAAGUCGGGUGUCAAAUCCUCAGGCUCAACCUGGGGCACCACCCGAUACUGUCGUGGCUAGAGUCCGGUAGGGGAGCGUGGAAUUCCUGGUGUAGCGGUGAAAUGCGCAGAUAUCAGGAGGAACACCAGCGGCGAAGGCGGCGCUCUGGGCCGGAACUGACGCUGAGGAGCGAAAGCGUGGGUAGCAAACAGGAUUAGAUACCCCUGUAGUC
rnacentral:rRNA from 1 species